rnacentral:rRNA from 1 species
GAACGCUGGCGGCGUGCUUAACACAUGCAAGUCGAACGGAAAGGCCCCUUCGGGGUACUCGAGUGGCGAACGGGUGAGUAACACGUGGGUGAUCUGCCCUGCACUUUGGGAUAAGCCUGGGAAACUGGGUCUAAUACCGAAUAGGACCGCAUGCUGCAUGGUGUGUGGUGGAAAGCUUUUGCGGUGUGGGAUGGGCCCGCGGCCUAUCAGCUUGUUGGUGGGGUAAUGGCCUACCAAGGCGACGACGGGUAGCCGGCCUGAGAGGGUGUCCGGCCACACUGGGACUGAGAUACGGCCCAGACUCCUACGGGAGGCAGCAGUGGGGAAUAUUGCACAAUGGGCGCAAGCCUGAUGCAGCGACGCCGCGUGGGGGAUGACGGCCUUCGGGUUGUAAACCUCUUUCAGUAUCGGCGAAGCUCCAAGGUUUUCUUUGGGGUGACGGUAGGUACAGAAGAAGCACCGGCCAACUACGUGCCAGCAGCCGCGG